rnacentral:snRNA from 1 species
AUCGCUUCUCGGCCUUUUGGCUAAGAUCAAGUGUAGUAUCUGUUCUUAUCAGUUUAAUAUCUGAUACGUCCUCUAUCCGAGGACACAGAAAAAAAAAAUAAAUAAAUAAAAUUAAAUUUGUAGUUUAAGAUAC